rnacentral:rRNA from 1 species
CAUAUGCUUGUCUCAAAGAUUAAGCCAUGCAUGUCUAAGUAUAAACAACUUUAUACUGUGAAACUGCGUACAGCUCAUUAAAUCAGUAAUUAUUUAUUUGAUGGUACCUUACUACAUGGAUACCUGUAGUAAUUCUAGAGCUAAUACAUGCACAAAGUCUCGACUCCACGGAAGAGAUGUAUUUAUUAGAUAAAAAACCAAUGCAGCCUCUGGUUGCUUAUGUGGUGAUUCAUAAUAACUGAUCGAAUCGCAUGGUCUUGUACCGGCGAUAGUUCAUUCAAAUUUCUGCCCUAUCAGCUUUCGACUGUAGUGUAGUGGACUACAGUGGCACUUACGGGUGACGGAGAAUUAGGGUUCGGUUCCGGAGAGGGAGCCUGAGGAAUGGCUACCACAUCCAAGGAAGGCAGCAGGCGCGCAAAUUACCCAAUCCUGAUACAGGGAGGUAGUGACAAAAAAUAACAAUACUGGGCCUUCAAGGUCUGGUAAUUGGAAUGAGUACAAUUUAAAUCCCUUAACGAGGAUCCAAUUGGAGGGACAAGUCUGGUGCCAGCACCCGCGGUAAUUCCAGCUCCAAUAGCGUAUAUUAAAAUUGUUGCAGUUAAAAAGCUCGUAGUUGAACUUCUGGCUUGGCGCGCGCGGCCCGGGCCGUAAAGGUCUGUGUGCCGUUGUGCGCCUGCCAUCUUGCUGGAGCACGGCUGUGCCCUUCACUGGGUUGCAGUCGCGAUUCAGCUCUUUUACUUUGAAAAAAUUAGGGUGUUUAAAGCAGGCUUGCGCUAUGAAUACAUUAGCAUGGAAUAAUAAUUUAGGACUUCUGUUCUAUUUUGUUGGUUUCUAGGAUGGAAGUAAUGAUUGAUAGGGAUAGUUGGGGGUGCUAGUAUUCAGCGGCCAGAGGUGAAAUUCUUGGAUUCGCUGAAGACUAACUUAUGCGAAAGCAUUCACCAAGGAUGUCUUCUUUAAUCAAGAACGAAAGUUGGGGGAUCGAAGACGAUCAGAUGCCGUCGUAGUCUCAACCAUAAACUAUGCCGACUAGGGAUGGGCGAAUGUUAACAAUUGACUUCGUCCGCACCUUAUGAGAAAUCAAAGUCUUUGGGUUCCGGGGGGAGUAUGGUCGCAAGGCUGAAACUUAAAGGAA